rnacentral:tRNA from 1 species
AUUUUAAUAGCUUAUUUAGAGCAUAAUAUUGAAGAUAUUAAGGAAGUAAAAUUACUUUAAAAUAUU